rnacentral:rRNA from 1 species
GACGAACGCUGGCGGCGUGCUUAACACAUGCAAGUCGAACGGAAAGGCCCUGCUUUUGUGGGGUGCUCGAGUGGCGAACGGGUGAGUAACACGUGAGUAACCUGCCCUUGACUUUGGGAUAACUUCAGGAAACUGGGGCUAAUACCGGAUAGGAGCUCCUGCUGCAUGGUGGGGGUUGGAAAGUUUCGGCGGUUGGGGAUGGACUCGCGGCUUAUCAGCUUGUUGGUGGGGUAGUGGCUUACCAAGGCUUUGACGGGUAGCCGGCCUGAGAGGGUGACCGGCCACAUUGGGACUGAGAUACGGCCCAGACUCCUACGGGAGGCAGCAGUGGGGAAUAUUGCACAAUGGGCGGAAGCCUGAUGCAGCAACGCCGCGUGCGGGAUGACGGCCUUCGGGUUGUAAACCGCUUUCGCCUGUGACGAAGCGUGAGUGACGGUAAUGGGUAAAGAAGCACCGGCUAACUACGUGCCAACAGCCGCGGUGAUACGUAGGGUGCGAGCGUUGUCCGGAUUUAUUGGGCGUAAAGGGCUCGUAGGUGGUUGAUCGCGUCGGAAGUGUAAUCUUGGGGCUUAACCCUGAGCGUGCUUUCGAUACGGGUUGACUUGAGGAAGGUAGGGGAGAAUGGAAUUCCUGGUGGAGCGGUGGAAUGCGCAGAUAUCAGGAGGAACACCAGUGGCGAAGGCGGUUCUCUGGGCCUUUCCUGACGCUGAGGAGCGAAAGCGUGGGGAGCGAACAGGCUUAGAUACCCUGGUAGUCCACGCUGUAAACGGUGGGUACUAGGUGUGGGGUCCAUUCCACGGGUUCCGUGCCGUAGCUAACGCUUUAAGUACCCCGCCUGGGGAGUACGACCGCAAGGCUAAAACUCAAAGGAAUUGACGGGGCCCCGCACAAGCGGCGGAGCAUGCGGAUUAAUUCGAUGCAACGCGUAGAACCUUACCUGGGUUUGACAUGGAUCGGGAGUGCUCAGAGAUGGGUGUGCCUCUUUUGGGGUCGGUUCACAGGUGGUGCAUGGCUGUCGUCAGCUCGUGUCGUGAGAUGUUGGGUUAAGUCCCGCAACGAGCGCAACCCUUGUUCACUGUUGCCAGCACGUUAUGGUGGGGACUCAGUGGAGACCGCCGGGGUCAACUCGGAGGAAGGUGGGGAUGACGUCAAGUCAUCAUGCCCCUUAUGUCCAGGGCUUCACGCAUGCUACAAUGGCUGGUACAGAGAGUGGCGAGCCUGUGAGGGUGAGCGAAUCUCGGAAAGCCGGUCUCAGUUCGGAUUGGGGUCUGCAACUCGACCUCAUGAAGUCGGAGUCGCUAGUAAUCGCAGAUCAGCAACGCUGCGGUGAAUACGUUCCCGGG